AAAAGUAAUUUCACUUUGGCGCUGGAAUUUUUUAAUAAAGUAAGUUGUUUAUUGGGAAAUAUCAAUGGAAGUGGAGUCAAUAAUUCAAACAAGACCUGGUAUGAUUGUGCAAGGACAAACAAUGCAAUUGCAAGUGAAGGCAUCCACCAGCCCUGUUGCAUAUGAGAAACUUAAGAAUAUUCUUCUCAAAGAUGAAGAUAUCGUUCAUGCCUUUCGGAAACAGGAGGAAAUUGUCAAUGCUGCAUCUGCAGAAGUGAUCGAGUUCUGAGGGAGCAACGAAAGACUCUUUGAGGUUCAUAAAUUUGUUCGAACUUGGAAUAAUACCGUGUUAAAUUCAUGGCGUGGAAGGCCGACGGAAGUUAUUGAGAAACAACUUAGAUUAAUACCUGGAUGGUAGAAUUAGAACAGUUCACGAAGUCAAUCUGCACAACUAAUGGUUUAUUAAUGGUUGAUUGCCGAAAUAUCAGAGAUAGCAUCGUUCCGAAACUUGGUUCCAUUUUUUGACUACUUUCCAAGAUGGUUGCAAAGGAUCUUAUGAGGAUGUCGAAGAAGUUCAUUGACGAGGCUCAACAGCUUGUUAGGUCUGUUGAGCAUCAAACUCGUGUUGUUGGUAAAAGGGCAACAAGCGGAGAGUUCUUGAUUUCUAAGAACAAUUCCUCGUUGAUGAUAUCAAGUUUAAUGAAGCUUCGGAGAACAUUUAGAGGUUAUAUGAAUGAUUUGGACGAACUCGUGGAAUACAGAGAAGUGAUUUCAGGCAAUAAGUUUUGUAAAGAUGAACUUCUACAAAUAUUGAAGAACGUUGACGUACGUUAUGAGUUGUGGAAGUAUUAUGAAGGGUGCGGCGAGAAAAUCGAACAUUGGCUUCAAACACCAUUUUUUAAGGUAAAGCACCGUGACUGAGCGCAUAGCAUGAUGCGAGAAUGAUAUCAUUGCGCUUUUAGCCUAACCCACCAACAAGAUGAACAUUACAAUACUGGUACAUUUAGAAGAGAUAUUCAAUAACCCACCAACAAGAUGAACAUUACAAUACUGGUACAUUUAGAAGAGAAAUUCAAUAACCCACCAACAAGAUGAACAUUACAAUACUGGUACAUUUAGAAGAGAUAUUCAAUAACCCACCAACAAGAUGAACAUUACAAUACUGGUACAUUUAGAAGAGAUAUUCAAUAACCCACCAACAAGAUGAACAUUACAAUACUGGUACAUUUAGAAGAGAUAUUCAAUAACCCACCAACAAGAUGAACAUUACAAUACUGGUACAUUUAGAAGAGAUAUUCAAUAACCCACCAACAAGAUGAACAUUACAAUACUGGUACAUUUAGAAGAGAUAUUCAAUAACCCACCAACAAGAUGAACAUUACAAUACUGGUACAUUUAGAAGAGAUAUUCAAUAA